CAGCUUGAAAAGAACAGACAAACCAGAGAACUCCACCAGGUUCUAUGCUUGUUUUUGCAUGGUUUCUCCAGCUGGAUGCCCUUCUUAAUGCCAACCACUUUACAAUGUGAACUGGGAGCAUUUUGCAUCACAUCAACACUGAUGAGGUUGCCAAGUAGCCUCAAGAUAAAACCCCGCUCAGCUGAGCUGGAUUUAGACAGGAGGAAUAAGAAACUGCGAUGGAGGGAGAGAAGCAAGUGUCUUGCUGAAGGGAAAAUCUUGGAAGUUGAUGCAACCUUGUGACGUGUCAGGUAAUUCUACAGAGAAUGGAUGGGAGAUUGUGAUUUCUGUAAUAAGGAUGAUGGCAUGGUGUUGAAGAUGAUGAUGAUGAUGCUUUUGAUGACAAUGACAACAAUGAUGUUAGUGAGGAUGAUGAUGGUGUACAAUGAUGUUGGUGAUGGACAUGAUGUUUAGGAUUAUGAUAAGAAUAAUGACGAUGAUGACAAUGAUGAUGGUGCAAAUGAUGCUGUUGAUGAUGAUGUAUCCAAUGAUGAAAGCAAUAACAACAAUCCAGGAUCCUUCUGUUCUCAAAUCCAAAUUUCACUGUUUGCUGGCAUUGGUGAAAUCAUUUUAAACGAGAGGCAUGAAGCAUUGAUGCAGGAGAGGAAGAUCACUAAAUGCUGUACAACACCCUCUUUCGAACGAACCCCUUUAAUGCCAAUUUUGAUAAAUCAAAGAGCACUAAGCAUUAAUUACUCAAUGUCUCUGAAUAUUGUGAUGGGAUGAUGAUAGUGAUGUCCUUGUCUCUGAUGAUGACGAAGAUGAUGAUGACAAUGAAGGUGAAAUGAUGAACAAUGAUGACAAUAAUGGUAAAUAAAGCAGAUUUCAAAAACGAA